UUACGGGAGGCAGCAGUAGGGAAUUUUCGUCAAUGGGGGAAACCCUGAACGAGCGACGCCGCGUGAGGGACGAAGGCCUUCGGGUUGUAAACCUCUGUCUUCAGGGACGAUAAUGACGGUACCUGAGGAGGAAGCCACGGCUAACUACGUGCCAGCAGCCGCGGUAAGACGUAGGUGGCGAGCGUUGUCCGGAAUUACUGGGCGUAAAGGGCGUGUAGGCGGCCUGUUAAGUCAGACGUGAAAUCCCUGGGCUUAACCUUGGGACUGCGUUUGAUACUGAUGGGCUUGAGGACAGGAGAGGAAAGCGGAACUCCGUGUGUAGCGGUGAAAUGCGUAGAUAUACGGAAGAACACCAGUGGCGAAGGCGGCUUUCUGGACUGUCCCUGACGCUGAGGCGCGAAAGCCAGGGGAGCGAACGGGAUUAGAUACCCCGGUAGG
rnacentral:rRNA from 1 species